CCGAGAAGUGAAAGCCUUACAUAACAGAAACAUAGGUUUCAUUAAGGUACUGUGGCGUAACCACAAAAUUGAGGAAGCUAGGUGGGAACGAGAGGAGGAAAUAAAGGAAAAAAUAUCCCGAGUUGAUCCACGAGUUUGAGACUUUCGCUCGCACAUGACCCACAAAGGGCGGCCGAAGGCUGGGAUGUCACAGGACUCGUCCCCGACCUUCAGCCACCCCGAAAUGACCUGCAAAGAACGAAAACAGUGAAAGAACGAGAAGGAACAGAGGACCCCGACGAAACUCCGGCGAAGCCGAACCAUACGAGAUCGACGUCAAAACCUCCAUUUUACACCACAAAAGUAAUCCCGUAACCCUUUACACACAUAAGGAGUAGAUUUUAGACGAAUCCUUUACGCUGAACACUGUCGGCAAGGAAGACGGAACAUCGGACUUUCGAACUUCUCCAGAUCCGGGAGUGUGAGGCCCUUACAAACGAAAUCUGUACCAAAAACGGGGUUAGGGUGAAGAAGAGACUCAGGAACGGAGAAAAAAAGAGGGAAAAAGGAUGUUGGGACGACGUUAUCGAGGAGAGAGAAAGUCGCCAGAAAAACGUGCAAGCAGUCGGGCGAAGAGGACGAAGUCCGACUCGAGGGCCAGAUCCCGCAACCCGAACCAAAUCCAGUUCACUUAUGUCGGUCCAGAUCUUGACGGUUCCUGCGGCCCAAACCGCAUAAGCCAGCCCGCCUGCAUUUCUUUCCUUCACCCGCGAACGGCCCAUCACCGCGCACGGCCCAUCACCCGCGAACGGCCCGUCACCUGCGUACAACCUGAGACCCGCGAGCGAUCCUAUAACCCGCGCCUUGACCUGAGACCCUUGCACACGCGUCGCUCUCUUAUUGUGGCAUGUGGCACGUCUGCAGCGCAGCUCCAGCAGCUCAAUCGGCUCGGCGACAGCUUCUCGGCUCCGCGGCUUAUUCGGCUCAGGAAAUCUAUUUCCAGCCCGUUUGUCACCAUUCCGACCCUCCGGGACUUAGUUUCAGCUGUGUUUAAGGAACCAACCACCAACAGAGCGUAGAACGUCCACGAGGAGCUAGGAGCUUACGCUAUAUUUUAAGGAGUACUUCGGCUAAGGCCUACCAAAUAAGAGAAAGGCAUCCAUGUGACAACGACGGCGGCAUCGUACACCCUGGGACCGUGGCACAUGCAUAGGAUAGUUGUUUUUCCAUUUCAUAGUCUAGAUUAAAUUCGUUUUGCAUCACUAGUAUAGGUUAGUAUAUGAUGAGUUGUAUUUGUAUAAUAAACCAUAGGGUAGAAUUAAAACAUUCAUUUCGGUUUUGGUCCUUUUCCUUUAUUUCAAUAAUAUUCGUUUUUUUUUCCCCUUGUAAUCUUUUCUCUUUCACGAGGUAAUAAAAGGCGAGUGUA